UCCUACGGGGCGCAGCAGUGAGGAAUAUUGGUCAAUGGCCGAGAGGCUGAACCAGCCAAGUCGCGUGAGGGAAGACGGCCCUACGGGUUGUAAACCUCUUUUGUCGGGGAGCAAAGCGAACCACGUGUGGUUCAUUGAGAGUACCCGAAGAAAAAGCAUCGGCUAACCCCGUGCCAGCAGCCGCGGUAAUACGGAGGAUGCGAGCGUUAUCCGGAUUUAUUGGGUUUAAAGGGUGCGCAGGCGGAGGCACAAGUCAGCGGUAAAAUCGCGGGGCUCAACCCCGCUCCGCCGUUGAAACUGUGUCC
rnacentral:rRNA from 1 species